UACGUAGGGUGCAAGCGUUGUCCGGAAUUAUUGGGCGUAAAGAGCUCGUAGGCGGCCAGGUAGGUCUGCUGUGAAAACUCGAGGCUUAACCUCGAGAUGUCGGCGGAAACCAUCUGGCUAGAGUCCGGAAGAGGAGAGUGGAAUUCCUGGUGUAGCGGUGAAAUGCGCAGAUAUCAGGAAGAACACCCGUGGCGAAGGCGGCUCUCUGGGACGGUACUGACGCUGAGACGCGAAAGCGUGGGGAGCGAACAGG
rnacentral:rRNA from 1 species